ensembl:lncRNA MAGI2-AS3 MAGI2 antisense RNA 3
CAUAGGCCACCUUGCCGGGCUUCACCUCCCCCAGCAGAGGAAGCAGUGGUGGUGGCGUCGGCGGCGGCGGCGGCGGCAGCCGGAGCGAGCAGUAGCCGAGCUGUAAUGUCUUACAAUAACAGAAUGCAGGAGAGCACAUAUCAAUGAAGAAAAGACAAAAUGUACUUAUCCAUGAAGCUGAGGUUAAGAAACCAGUGUCUUCAAGAGCCAGGGACAGCACUGGGUCUGUGCAGAGUUGAGAGAUGGUGAUGACAUGCCUACAGCACAGCUGAUGAAAGAGAAGACAUCUUGCUGCUAUUUGACAAGCAAGAAGAUAAAAGCUUUCCUAUAAAGAUGAUGGAGCAAAAAAAUAGAAGGGGCCUAGACUCCCUACCUUCACACUUCCUGCUAUAAAAGCAUUGCUAUUAUAAGGUUAAUCUGCAGAAACAGACUUCUAUGUCAUAUGCUUAAAUGCAUCAAAAUUCAUACAAUAUCCAUUAAAUUGGUAAAAGUAUCCAUUUUAAAGGAUUAAUCUGAGGGACCCACAGACACUUAACACAAUCAAAUCUCAGAAAAAAAAUCAGUUAUUUCAUUGUGAUUUUGAGGCUGAUCUUUUAUGAUCUUUUAGUUAUCAAACUGUUAAAUACAUUUUAACUUUCAAAUUUUAUGAAUAAAGGAGAUGAAUCCUGUUA